rnacentral:rRNA from 1 species
GAAUAUUGCACAAUGGGCGCAAGCCUGAUGCAGCAACGCCGCGUGAGGGAUGACGGCCUUCGGGUUGUAAACCUCUUUUAGUAGGGAAGAAGCGUAAGUGACGGUACCUGCAGAAAAAGCACCGGCUAACUACGUGCCAGCAGCCGCGGUAAUACGUAGGGUGCAAGCGUUGUCCGGAAUUAUUGGGCGUAAAGAGCUCGUAGGCGGCUUGUCGCGUCUGCCGUGAAAACCCGAGGCUCAACCUCGGGCCUGCAGUGGGUACGGGCAAGCUAGAGUGCGGUAGGGGAGAUUGGAAUUCCUGGUGUAGCGGUGGAAUGCGCAGAUAUCAGGAGGAACACCGAUGGCGAAGGCAACCCCCUGGGCCUGUACUGACGCUCAUGCACGAAAGCGUGGGGAGCAAACA